rnacentral:rRNA from 1 species
AUUCCAGCUCCAAUAGCGUAUAUUUAAGUUGCUGCAGUUAAAAAGCUCGUAGUUGGAUUUCGGGUGGGAAUGGCCGGUCCGCCGUUUCGGUGUGCACUUGCUAGUCCCACCUUGCUGCCGGGGACGUGCUCUUGGGUUUCGGCUCGGGACACGGAGUCGGCGAGGUUACUUUGAGUAAAUUAGAGUGUUCAAAGCAGGCCUACGCUCUGAAUACAUUAGCAUGGAAUAACACGAUAGGACUCUGGCCUAUCUUGUUGGUCUGUAGGACCGGAGUAAUGAUUAAGAGGGACAGUCGGGGGCAUUCGUAUUUCAUUGUCAGAGGUGAAAUUCUUGGAUUUAUGAAAGACGAACUACUGCGAAAGCAUUUGCCAAGGAUGUUUUCAUUA